rnacentral:rRNA from 1 species
GAUGAACGCUGGCGGCGUGCCUAAUACAUGCAAGUCGAGCGAACAGACGAGGAGCUUGCUCCUCUGACGUUAGCGGCGGACGGGUGAGUAACACGUGGAUAACCUACCUAUAAGACUGGGAUAACUUCGGGAAACCGGAGCUAAUACCGGAUAACAUGUUGAACCGCAUGGUUCAACAGUGAAAGACGGUCUUGCUGUUACUUAUAGAUGGAUCCGCGCCGCAUUAGCUAGUUGGUAAGGUAACGGCUUACCAAGGCAACGAUGCGUAGCCGACCUGAGAGGGUGAUCGGCCACAAUGGAACUGAGACACGGUCCAGACUCCUACGGGAGGCAGCAGUAGGGAAUCUUCCGCAAUGGGCGAAAGCCUGACGGAGCAACGCCGCGUAAGUGAAGAAGGUCUUCGGAUCGUAAAACUCUGUUAUUAGGGAAGAACAAAUGUGUAAGUAACUAUGCACGUCUUGACGGUACCUAAUCAGAAAGCCACGGCUAACUACGUG